UCCUACGGGGCGCAGCAGUGGGGAAUAUUGGGCAAUGGGCGCAAGCCUGACCCAGCAACGCCGCGUGAAGGAAGAAGGCUUUCGGGUUGUAAAAUUCUUUUAUGAGGGACGAAAGAAAUGACGGUACCUCAUGAAUAAGCCACGGCUAACUACGUGCCAGCAGCCGCGGUAAUACGUAGGUGGCAAGCGUUAUCCGGAUUUACUGGGGGUAAAGGGCGUGAAGGCGGGAGUGCAAGUCGGAUGGGAAAAUUAUGGGCUAAA
rnacentral:rRNA from 1 species